rnacentral:misc_RNA from 1 species
GUGUGCGACCCGUCCACACACACACACGCACAAGCACAGAUACAUGCGCACACUGCAGCCCCUCACUCGCACCCGCUCUGAGAAGCGCCAUUCAAGUCUCCUUUAUACGUCACACGGCGCGUGGCGUGAAAGAGAACCAUUUGACGGCGUCAUUCACGCCUUCGGCUCACGGGGGCCGUCAUGCACGCACCGACUGCGGCGGCACACAUGUGGCGCACGCCCUCCGUCAGCGCACCUCGCCUGCGUCGAUGCCUUAGCGCUUCGGCGGCGGCAGCGGCAUCGCUCCCCUCAGCGCUACGGGUAGGUCAGCGCCACGUCACGAGCGCCACUGGCUCUUUCAACGGUAAAGAUGGCGAGAGCAAUAAUACGAAGGAUCACGCGGACGGCAAGGGGGGCGCUGUGCCUCCCUCAGCGACUACAACCGCUACAGGAAGUGCUGCCAGCCACGGCUUUCAAGGCUGGAAGCGCUUUGGCUCGCUCACCAGCGGCCACCAAGAUGUAGGCGUUACAACGAGCCCGCGUAGCUCACCGCCGUCGCCAGCGUCGUCUCCGUCCGCCUUCUCCCCAAGCCAAGAUGCGGCCUCCAUCGUCGAUGGCAAGACCCGCGACGACGAAGCUCGUCGACGCGCAACAUCGGCGCGGCUCACGGACAUGUUCGCCGACAGCGCGCGGCACUCGCGAUGGAUGCAGGAGCAGCUCCAGCAGUCACGCAGAAGCUCGGUGUACACGGAAGAGACGGCGGCGCCCCGGCUGGUGCGCUCUUCCUGUAGCGCCGUGAACGCCAAUCAACGUGGUUACGCCGUCGACGAAGACGAGGAUGGCAGUGCCGUAUCGGACGCGGCAGAUGCAACGGCACCAACAGCGUUGGCGGCCACCGCAGGUGCCGACGUGUUGGAGCAGGAGUUGCUGGACGACAACUUCCUGUACUACCCGCCGCUGGCAGCCAUCGGCGAAGCGGGAGCUGCCGAGGCGACGCACACUCUCCCGAGUGGUGAACCGGAGAGGUACGUCCCUGGUCAGCAGGUCAUUCCGCCCGGCAUGACGCGCUACCGGGUGGAUGUGCAGUAUCAAGGCAGUGAUUUCGAUGGAUGGUACAAGUCUGUGCAACGAACGCGAAACAGCAAGGAUGCUGCGCCAGCUGGCAACACCGCUACUGCUGCGGCAGACUACGGCACUGGCUCCCGCCACUUCGCCAAGGUCGUGCUGGAGGAGGCGCUGGCUGUCGCGCUGGACGUGCCGACGGUUAGCGUCGUUGCCGCCGUCAUUCCAGAGACGGGCGUGUCGGUGCGCCGCCUAACGUGCCAUGUAGACGUGCCAAGCGAGGUGGAGCUGCAACCUCGCACCAUCCUGCAGCGCGCCACGCUGUGGCUGCAUCAACGUCGGCAGCCGCUCGCCGUUCUCAGCUGUCACCCGUGCCGUAACCAGGAUUUCCAUGCCCGGCACAGCGGGGUGCGGCGGGUGUACUGCUACCGCAUUCUGAACCGCAUUGCACCUCCCCUGUUUGACGCGGGGUUGCAGUGGCACGUGGACCGCUACCUCGAUGUGCCGCGCAUGCAGCGCAUGGCGCGUCUCAUGGAAGGGACACACGAUUACGGCUUCUUUGCUGACAGCAAGAUGGCGAACGCACUGCGGCGCGCUGCGGCUUCUUCUACCGGAAGCGGUCGAGGGGGACCGGUGGUGUCUUCGGCGUACAGCGCGGAGCAUGAGCGGCUAACUAGUCACGGCCUGAGGCGCGGCGAGGCGCCAGCGGCGCCGAAGGUGACGGUCGAGCGCGGUCUUUCUCAGCUCGAGCGCGCUGCGGCCUUGCCAACCUUCAACGAGUACGGCCAGCGCGUCAUCACGUACCAAGCGAAGCCGCACGAGUACCACAAGGCCCGCACAAACCUCCCGACCAUCCGCACACUCGACAAGAUUGAGGUGGUGCGGCAGGAGGACGAAGUCCUUAUCUGGUUCGUCGGGCAGUCCUUCCUGCGCCAUCAGAUCCGCAACAUGGUGAGCGCGCUCAAGGCGGGCGGCCACGGCCUCUGGGACGAUCAAGAGCUCCAGCACGCCUUUCAGAGCGGCUUCGAGGUAUCGCGCAAGAAGUUCAAGCGCGAGCGCCUGUCUCCGGCUCCUGCUCAUGGCCUCACGCUGUGGGAUGUCGAGUACCCGACGCAGCACCGGUCAGACUUCGUACCCUACGUAGAUGCGGGACCUUACGAGCCCGUGGACGUCUCCACGCAGCACUAGCGCUGUCGCAACGACUGAAGGCAAGGCAACAGGGUGCGAAGGGCGGAGGGAGGCCGGGCACGGUGCUUCGCGCGUGUGCGCAGAUGUCGGCAUGUUGAUGGAAGCCGGGGCGAGAACGCGGAGGGCUGUCGCAGAUACGAAGGCAAGCAGAGAGAGGAGGCUCUCUCGUCUUACACUGCAGCUCCCCUUCCCCCCCCUUCCGCCCUUUUCGUGCUUGAUAUAGGGCUGGCUGAGUACGCAUGCAUGCAUGUGUAUCUCUAUACAUGUGCCUGCAUGCGUGUGUGUAUGUGUGCGUGUUUGUGCUUUCACAGAGGCGCUAAACCCCU